rnacentral:rRNA from 1 species
GUCUACGGCCAUGCCCCUGAACAAGCCCAAUCCUGUCUGAUAUCGGAAGCUAAGCAAGGUCGGGCCUGGUUAUUACUUGGAUAGGAGACCACCUAGGAAGGCCAGGUGCUGUAGGUG